CGAAGGCCAACUCGAUCGACCCUAGUUCGUGCGUACGUGUGUCCCUUGGAGCGUAUAUCAUCUGGUAUCAGAGCCGAAAGGUUCUACACCCUAGGUUGUAUCCCUCCUUUACUUUCGUUUUAGUUUUUGUUUCGUUCAUCUUAAGUCAAAAAAAAUAAAAAAAAGUAAUAGUAUCUCGUAGUUGCACUUGUUUCGAUUGUUAAGUUGUUAGUUUCGAUUUGCAUCACCUAUAUUUAAAAAAAGAAAAAAAAAAUAGUUAGUAGUAAUCUUGUAGUUGUGUGAGUUAAUCGUUAGUUAAGUUCAAAAAAAAAAAAAAAAGAAAUUGUCAGUUUUCAGUUUGCUCUUGUUCGAAUUCCGUUUAUUACCCGUUCGUUGAUACUUGCUGUUUUUGUCACUUCUUUUGCAUCCGCAGAUGGAGAACAACGCCGAAGCUCCCUUGGACCCUAUUGCAGCCACAUUAGCUGCUAUCCAAGCCACUCUCCAAACGUUUGGAGACCGCAUGACCCGUCUCGAGCAACCUCGGGUCAUCAACCCCAUCCGGAACCAACAACCUCCUCCGCGAGCACCGAAUGAAGGCGUGUACGAACAAGGAGAACCCCAUGUCGGACCCCAAAGGAGAGACCCGGUUCAUAGAGGACGGGAGAGAGACGAAAAUCCACCCCACCAAAUGGUUGACCCGAAGCUUACGGCGCCUACCUUUGCCGGACGAGUCGACCCCGAUGCCUACCUUGAUUGGGAGAAGCGGAUNNNNNNNNNNNNNNNNNNNNNNNNNNNNNNNNNNNNNNNNNNNNNNNNNNNNNNNNNNNNNNNNNNNNNNNNNNNNNNNNNNNNNNNNNNNNNNNNNNNNACUUACAAAAACGUUUUCGUAAGUUGGUGCAGGGAAAUAAGACGGUCGAAGAAUACUAUGAGGAAUUUGAGCAGCUUAUCAACCGGUUGGAGACCGAAGAAUCGGAGGAGACUCUCAUGGCUCAGUUCAUAGAAGGACUUCAAGACCGAAUCUCUCGCAAGGUGGAAAGGCAACCCUAUCAUGACUUGCAAGAAGUGGUACAUUUAGCUAUUCAAGCCGAGCAACAUAUUAGACGAAAGGUGGCAACCGUUAGCCGAGUUAAAGUCAAUCCGUGGACUCCGGGAACUUCUAAGCCACCGGACAAAGGCAAAGCGAUCGAGGUGGACUCGCGGUUUAAGAAGAAUACGGUGGAAAACUCCAAGGCUCCAAUCCGACCGGAAGCAAGUAAAGCCGUUUCUACUAACCGUUCUCGAGAUAUAAUUUGUUUUAAAUGUCAGGGACGCGGACAUAUGGCGAGAGAAUGCCCUAACCAGCGAGUCAUGAUCAUAACCACCAACGGUUACGAGUCCCAAGAUGAACCGGAGGAAGAUACUAGCGACCCGGACGAUGGAAUUGAAUACCCGGACGUAGGUGAACUUUUGGUCAUUCGUCGGGCGCUCAACAUGACGGUUAACCCGGAAGAAACCGUACAACGGGAAAACAUAUUCCAUACAAGAUGCACCGUGAGCAACAAGGUAUGUAGUCUCAUUAUCGACGGUGGUUCUUGUACUAACGUGGCUAGCAAGUUAUUGGUCGACAAGUUAGGUCUACCCACGAGAAAGCAUCCAAGACCGUAUAAGUUAAGGUGGCUUAAUGACACCGUGGAGCUCAAGAUCGCUGAACAAGCCACGGUGAACUUUAGUAUAGGCAAGUAUCACGACGAGGUCUUAUGUGAUGUUGUGCCUAUGCAAGCCGGGCAUCUCCUACUCGGAAGACCUUGGCAAUACGACCAUGAAACCUUGCAUAACGGGCGUACCAACUACUACACGUUCAUGCAUAACAAGCGGAAGGUUACUCUAGCCCCACUCACACCCUCCGAGGUACAUGAUUUACAACGUAAGAUGAGCAAGGAUGCCCCGGUAAGUAAGGCUAGUCUCUUUGUAUCUUCUAACACGGUUGGUAAGGUUUUAAACUCCAAACACACCGUGCUACUUAUGAUCUUCAAAGAAAGUAUGUUUUCAGGACUAGAGUGUCUAGACUUGCCCGCCGAAGUGAGUACCAUGCUUAAGCAAUUUGAAGAUGUAUUUCCCGAAGAAAUUCCAUCCGGCUUACCUCCGAUCCGUGGAAUCGAACACCAAAUUGAUCUCGUCCCCGGAUCCGCCUUACCAAACCGGCCCGCAUAUAAGAUGAACCCCACGGAAGCUAAGGAGUUAGAAUCACAAGUUCAAGACCUCAUGUCGAAGGGUUACAUCCGUGAGAGUCUUAGCCCUUGUGCCGUGCCCGUGUUGUUAGUACCUAAGAAAGGCGGGACGUGGAGAAUGUGCGUGGACUGCCGAGCUAUCAACAACAUUACCAUCAAGUACCGACACCCCAUUCCUCGCCUCGACGACAUGUUAGAUGAACUUGAUGGAGCCACUAUCUUUUCGAAGAUAGACUUGAAGAGUGGAUAUCACCAAGUUCGCAUGAAAGAAGGAGACGAAUGGAAGACCGCGUUUAAAACCAAGCAAGGCCUCUACGAGUGGCUAGUCAUGCCGUUCGGCCUUACCAACGCCCCUAGUACAUUCAUGCGACUCAUGAAUCAUGUCUUAAGGGCCUACAUUUGUAAGUUUGUAGUCGUUUAUUUCGAUGACAUUCUUAUUUAUAGCCGGAACUUAUCCGAACACUUAUCACACCUUGAGCAAGUUCUUGAGACUCUCCGCAAGGAAGAACUCUAUGCUAACCUCAAGAAGUGUGUGUUUUGCACUGAUCAACUGGUCUUUUUAGGUUUUGUUGUAAGUUCACAGGGCAUACAGGUUGAUCAAGAAAAGAUUAAAGCCAUAGAAGAAUGGCCGACUCCCACUACCAUUGGUCAUGUUCGAAGUUUUCAUGGGCUGGCUAGUUUUUAUAGACGUUUUGUGAAGGAUUUCAGCACCGUAGCUGCACCCCUUACCGCCGUGAUCAAGAAGCAUGUAGCAUUUUCAUGGGGAGAAGCUCAAGAGAGAGCUUUCCGGGAGCUUAAAGAUCGUCUAACGCNNNNNNNNNNNNNNNNNNNNNNNNNNNNNNNNNNNNNNNNNNNNNNNNNNNNNNNNNNNNNNNNNNNNNNNNNNNNNNNNNNNNNNNNNNNNNNNNNNNNGCUCGGUGGCUAGAGUUCGUAGAGACUUUUCCGUACAUCAUCAAAUACAAGAAAGGAAAAGAAAACAUUGUAGCCGAUGCACUUUCGCGUCGACACGCUCUCAUCACCACCAUGGACGCUAAAGUUUUAGGGUUUGAACACGUGAAGAUUGCUUAUCUAGAAGAUACCGACUUUGGAUCCAUCUUCAAGGAGUGUGACAAGGCAGCUUUCGGACCCUACUACAAGCAUGACGGCUACUUAUUCCGAGAUAAGCGACUAUGCAUACCCCAAGGAUCGAUGCGGGAGCUUAUCACCCGAGAAGCACAUAGUGGAGGACUCAUGGGCCAUUUUGGAGUAGACAAGACCAUGGCUAUACUUGCGGAACAUUUCUUCUGGCCACAUAUGAGGAAAGACGUCGAACGAUUUUGCGCAAAAUGCAUCACUUGCCUCCGCGCUAAAUCCAGGUCACACCCCCAUGGUUUAUAUAUGCCUUUACCUAUUCCUAAUGCUCCAUGGGAGGAUAUUUCUAUGGAUUUUGUUUUAGGUUUGCCAAAGAUUCAACAUAAAGACUCCAUCUUCGUGGUAGUCGAUCGAUUCUCAAAAAUGGCGCAUUUUAUACCAUGUGACAAGACCAAUGAUGCAACUCAAACCGCCGAUCUAUUCUUUAAAGAAGUAGUGCGCAUACACGGAGUGCCUCGAACCAUUGUCUCCGACCGAGACACCAAGUUCAUGAGCCAUUUUUGGAGGACGUUAUGGCGAAAACUCGGAACCAAACUCCUUUUCUCCACCACUUGCCAUCCCCAAACGGACGGCCAAACCGAGGUUGUAAACCGUACUCUAUCAACUUUACUUAGAGUAACGGUCGGUAAGAACCCUAGAAACUGGUUGGAAUGUUUACCGUACAUUGAAUUUGCUUAUAACCGAGCUACUCAUUCCGCUUCUAAGUUUUGUCCUUUUGAAGUUGUUUACGGCUUUAAACCAUUAACCCCGCUGGAUUUAGCACCACUACCCCCGGGAUCACGAAUCGAUCAAGACGGUAAACGCAAGGCGGAAUUGGUUCAAAAGCUACAUCAAACCGUUAAGGAGAACUUGGAGAAAAAGACGGAAAAAUACAAGCAACGGAUGGACAAGAACCGCAAAGAAGUCAUCUUUGAACCCGGCGAUUGGGUUUGGUUACACUUGAGAACCGAGAGGUUUCCAACGAAGAGAAGUUCCAAACUAUCCCCUCGCGGCGACGGACCUUUCAAGAUAGUCGAACGAAUCAACAACAACGCUUACCGGCUAGAACUCCCAGGUGAGUAUAACGGGUCUAAAAGUUUCAACGUCACUGACUUAUCUCCUUUUGAUAUAGGACGACCAGUUCUGAGGCCAGAACAUUUUCAAGAGGGAGGGGAUGAUGAGGACAUAGGACCGGACAUCGACGAGUGCUCGACGGACGGCCACGACCCGGUAACGAGUGACCCGACACCAACAAUCCCGACGGUCAUAGCUGGACCAAUGACCCGUUCACGGACGAGGAAGCUAAGAGAAACAUUCAAUGAAGGAGUUGAGGCCCUGAUCAACGCAACCGGCCAAACGGAUAUUCUAUCGGCCGACCCUCGACCUCCGGACGCGAGUGGAAGCCUCAACAAGUUCCAUCGACCCAACGAUGGAGAACAGACCAACCGAGGUAAGUUUCAUCGACCAAGUCCAUAUUUUAGGACUAACGAUCGAGCCGGUUUUGCAGGAAACCCCCUAGAAGCACGAGUCGAUCGAGCAUCGUCACCCGGCAUCGACGACACGAACGCCCGAACGAUCGACCCGGACGACCCACCACCAAACAUCAAGGGAUUCGAGAUUCAUCAACAAAGUGCUNNNNNNNNNNNNNNNNNNNNNNNNNNNNNNNNNNNNNNNNNNNNNNNNNNNNNNNNNNNNNNNNNNNNNNNNNNNNNNNNNNNNNNNNNNNNNNNNNNNNAUUUUAAAAGCUUUGAUCGAGAGCGUUUGGAGAAACAACCCGCAGAACAUGAAGAAGCUCGACAAGUACCACCCCGGACGCCGGAAAGCUUGUACGGAGCGAAGUCUCGAACCAAGUUGAUCCAAACAGCUUGGGCUUCGAUAAUCACUCGAUAAGUGAUGUUUCUGGAGACAACGAUCGAAGCCGAAAUGCCCACGACCGAGACGGAUUGGGAGAUGAUCGAGAGGAGCAAUACUACCGUCGUAACUGCACGUCCGAAGCCCGUAACACCGAGAAUGGAGGACAAGGCCGUAUAGGCUCGUACGAAGUUAAAAACUGUCUAGAAAACAAAAACCAAGGUGAAGAAGAAGAAGGAGAACCAGAGACAACUACGUGGCCUCUCAUUUCGUCGAAUAAGGUAAGUUCGGUUUUUAUUGUUUCCAUUUUCUCUUAAGUGUUUUGCAGGACCUAUCAACCGAACAAUUUGCGUUUUAUGUCAUAGAGUCUAAGUCCUAGAGAGUCGAACCUAAGCCUCCGACUUGUGGAGAGGGUUCACUUGUGCGAAUGACACAAGUUUCCUUUUUGGUUGUUUUCUUUAUUUUAUUUGUAACCGUUCAUUUAUUUGAGAUUGAAUCUCGACCCUCGAAGGUCAUGGCUGAAGGACUAUUAAUAAAGUCCCAUUCGCAGCCUUGUAGUCACGUUUUUAACCUAGAUCAAUAAAGUUGCAUUUUCUUCUCUUGCGCCGUUUGCGAGUUGAGAGUUCUUACGCGAGUAUUCUUGAGUGGUUUCCCCUUGAAUCAACCCGUGUGAGCUUGUUACUUAGUUGAUCGAACCCCCUUGCUUCCCCUAAGCUUCCUUGUUCCAUUGAGUUCGUCUUGUUUGCGGUUAUAUCGAGAGAGAGCGAAGGCCAACUCGAUCGACCCUAGUUCGUGCGUACGUGUGUCCCUUGGAGCGUAUAUCAUCUGGUAUCAGAGCCGAAAGGUUCUACACCCUAGGUUGUAUCCCUCCUUUACUUUCGUUUUAGUUUUUGUUUCGUUCAUCUUAAGUCAAAAAAAAUAAAAAAAAGUAAUAGUAUCUCGUAGUUGCACUUGUUUCGAUUGUUAAGUUGUUAGUUUCGAUUUGCAUCACCUAUAUUUAAAAAAAGAAAAAAAAAAUAGUUAGUAGUAAUCUUGUAGUUGUGUGAGUUAAUCGUUAGUUAAGUUCAAAAAAAAAAAAAAAAGAAAUUGUCAGUUUUCAGUUUGCUCUUGUUCGAAUUCCGUUUAUUACCCGUUCGUUGAUACUUGCUGUUUUUGUCACUUCUUUUGCAUCCGCAGAUGGAGAACAACGCCGAAGCUCCCUUGGACCCUNNNNN
rnacentral:lncRNA from 1 species